rnacentral:tRNA from 1 species
GCAGAACUCGGCGACGAGGUCGGCCUCCUGGCGGUCGGCGAGGCGGCGGGCGAGGACGUACGCCGUCCGUUCGACCCCGGCGGUCAGCGC